AAAACAGACACGUAGACCAAUGGGGCAUCAUAGAUCCCAGAAAUGAAUCCAGGCAUUUGCAGCCAACUGACUUUUGACAGAAGUGCCAAAAAUAUAUAAUGAGGAACAGAUAGUCUCUUCAAUGAAUAGCACUGGGGGUAACUGCAUAUCCAUAUGCAAAAGAAGGAAAUUAGAUCCUUAUCUCACACCAUAUAGAAAAUCAACUCAAAAUAGAAUAAAGACUUAAAUGUAAGAUGCAAAACUGCAAACCU
rnacentral:lncRNA from 1 species